UUAAUUUAAUUGUUUCUAUUUAGCUAAUUAAAGUAUUUUUGUUUUUAGUAAAUUUAUUGAAAAAAUUACUUUUGAUAUAGUUAAUUAAGUAUCGUGAGAGAAUUUUUUUUAUAACAUGAAAGAAAAAAUUAUAUUUUGUACCUUGUGUAUCAGGGUUUAUCAAAAAAAUAUUAAAAUUUUAAUAUUCUCGAAUUUGAAAGAGCUACUUAUUUAUAGUUUUUAUUGUUUCAUAAAUAUUAUUAAUAAAUGAGUUGAAGCGAAAUACUAUUCGAUUUUGAAUAUAUCUAGUUUUUUAAGAAAAAAAUUUAAUUUUAUUAUAUCAAAAGUAAUUUUUUUCUUGUUUAGUUAAUUUUUUGUUAUGUUUUAUAAUUUGAGGGUUGAGCUUUGAAUUAAAUUUAUAUAAUGAUAAUAUAUUUUGUUUAAAAUAUGAAGGAUUUGAAGUUUCUACCUAGUGAUUUAUAUCUUAAUUUAUUUAAUAUAAGAUUUGUUAUUUGAUUUAUUUUUUUUAUUAAAAUUUAAAUUUUAAUAUUUAUUAUUUAGUAAAAAUGAUUGAAUUAGUAUAAGUUAAUAUUUAAUAUAUUUUAUUAAUUUUUAGGCUUGGUUAAGGAAUUCGGCAAAAUUAUUUCUCACCUGUUUAUUAAAAACAUGUCCUUUUGAUUAUAAUUUAAGGUCUAACCUGCCCAAUGAUUUAACAAAUUAAAUGGCCGCGGUAUAUUGACUGUGCAAAGGUAGCAUAAUCAUUAGUUUUUUAAUUGAAAGCUUGUAUGAAAGGUUGGAUGAGGAAAUUUCUGUCUCAACUAAGAUUUUUUAGAAUUUUAUUAUUUUGUAAAAAGGCAAAUAUUUCUAUAAAAGACGAGAAGACCCUAUAGAGUUUUAUAGUUUAUAUAGAAAAAAUAAUUGGAAUUCUAGUUUUUAUUUAUAUAAAUUAUUUGGUUGGGGUGAUUGAACAAUUUAAUAAACUUUUUUUAAUUGAUUACACUUAUUUGUGUAUUGUUGAUCCUUAAUAAAGAUUAAAAGAAAAAAUUACCUUAGGGAUAACAGCGUAAUUUUUCUAGAGAGUUCUAAUCGAAAGAAGAGUUUGCGACCUCGAUGUUGGAUUAAAAUUUAAAUUUGGUGUAGAAGCUGAAUUUUUAGGUCUGUUCGACCUUUAAAAUUUUACAUGAUCUGAGUUUAAACCGGCGUGAGCCAGGUUGGUUUCUAUCUUUAUAAAAGUAAUAUUUUUUAGUACGAAAGGACCAAAAAUCUAUUACAUUAAUUUUUAUAGAAUACUAUUAUU
rnacentral:rRNA from 1 species